rnacentral:tRNA from 1 species
GCACUGGUUGUUCAGUGGUAGAAUUCUAACCUUCUGUGCGAGAGGAACCAGGUUCGAUUCCCAGCCAAUGCA